UACGUAGGGUGCGAGCGUUAAUCGGAAUUACUGGGCGUAAAGCGUGCGCAGGCGGUGAUGUAAGACCGAUGUGAAAGCCCCGGGCUUAACCUGGGAACUGCGUUUGAAACUGGGAGACUCGAGUGUGGCAGAGGGGGGUGGAAUUCCACGUGUAGCAGUGAAAUGCGUAGAUAUGUGGAGGAACACCGAUGGCGAAGGCAGCCCCCUGGGUCAACACUGACGCUCAUGCACGAAAGCGUGGGGAGCAAACAGG
rnacentral:rRNA from 1 species